AUUGAACGCUGGCGGCAGUCCUAACACAUGCAAGUCGAUCGAGCGGCGGCCGGGUCAGUAAUGUCUGGUACACUGCCUGCUGGACGGGGCUCACUACUGAACCGGUAGCUACUACCUCAUACCAUCAGAUUUGCCCAUAUGGGAUUCGCUAGUAGGUGGGGUAACGGCUCACCUAGUCGACGAUCCCUAGCUGGUCUGAGAGGAUGACCAGCAGCACUGGAACUGAUACACGGCCCAGACUCCUACGGGAGGCAGCAGUGGGGAAUAUUGAACAAUGGGCGCAAGCCUGAUGCAGCCAUGCCGCGUGUGUGAAGAAGGCCUUCGGGUUGUAAAGCACUUUCAGCGUGGAGGCGUUACCCGCAGAAGAAGCACCGGCUAACUCCGUGCCAGCAGCCGCGGUAAUAC
rnacentral:rRNA from 1 species